rnacentral:rRNA from 1 species
UACGUAGGGUGCAAGCGUUGUCCGGAAUUAUUGGGCGUAAAGAGCUCGUAGGCGGUCUGUCGCGUCUGCUGUGAAAUCCCGGGGCUCAACUCCGGGCUUGCAGUGGAUACGGGCAGACUAGAGUUCGGUAGGGGAGACUGGAAUUCCUGGUGUAGCGGUGAAAUGCGCAGAUAUCAGGAGGAACACCGGUGGCGAAGGCGGGUCUCUGGGCCUUACCUGACGCUGAGGAGCGAAAGCGUGGGGAGCGAACAGG